rnacentral:lncRNA from 1 species
CAUAUUUUCACAUUUAUCCCACCAAAUUAUCCAAAUACUAGUGAAUGCCUGCAUUUAAAACACUAAAUAUUACAUUUACAAUAAAAUAGAAAAUAGCACUCUCCACUUUUAAAGAACAUGAAUGCAUUUCAUGAAAUCCCUUUUACUUUUAUACUCUGUUUUCUUGACUUUCUUGUUUUAGGUUAUAAAUAUGGUCAAGAACAAAACCAGCCAGGCAUGGUGGUGCAUGCCUGUAAUCCCAGCAGCUUCAGGGAUUGAGGCAGGAAGAUUUUGAGUUCAAAGCCAGCCUCAGCAAAAGUGAGGCACUAAGCAACUCAGUGAGACCCUAUCUCUAAAUAAAAAUACAAAAUAAGCCUAGGGAAAUGGCUCUGAACUCAAGUGCUCCUGAGUUCAAUCCCCAAUACACCCCCCAAAAAAAGAAGAACAGAACCAGAUUAUAAAAUAACAUCUUCCAGUUGAAUAAUAAGCAGGCAGGUGAAUUUUUCCAGGACUUCCUUUACAUCAAUUGUCAUACUUUCAAUGGAAAUAUUUCAAAAAUGCUCAAAAAAUUGCUUUCUGAAUAAAACUGGGAUUAUAAGGUUUCUAGUGCAUAGUUAUAUAAAUGCUAAAAUAAUCACAAGUCAAAUUAUCAUGAAUUUUUAUUGCAUUCAUUAAUUUUAUUUCUUAGAUUAGGCAAUAAUUGUAGAAAAACAUAAGAUCCAUGAACCAUUUUGUCUUCUGGGCCUUCUGGGCCAAUUUUUUACACUGUUCCUUUCAUCUUUAUGUGAACAUAAAGAGCUGAAAUUCAUAAAACAGUUACUACAAGACUUCAGUAAUUUUAACAUUUA